rnacentral:rRNA from 1 species
CCAUCAGAACUCCGCAGUUAAGCGUGCUUGGGCGAGAGUAGUACUAGGAUGGGUGACCUCCUGGGAAGGCCUCGUGUUGCACCCCGCAUUAAUGCACCG